rnacentral:rRNA from 1 species
UCCGUAGGCGGGCAGCUAAGUCAGUGGUGAAAGUCUGCAGCUCAACUGUAGAAUUGCCAUUGAUACUGGUUGUCUUGAAUUAUUAUGAAGUGGUUAGAAUAUGUAGUGUAGCGGUGAAAUGCAUAGAUAUUACAUAGAAUACCAAUUGCGAAGGCAGAUUACUAAUAAUAUACUGACACUGAUGGACGAAAGCGUGGGGAGCGAACAGGAUUAGAUACCCUGGUAGUCC